rnacentral:rRNA from 1 species
AGGGAUAUUGGUCAAUGGGGGCAACCCUGAACCAGCAACGCCGCGUGAGGGAAGACGGUUUUCGGAUUGUCAACCUCUGUCCUCUGUGAAGAUAAUGACGGUAGCAGAGGAGGAAGCUCCGGCUAACUACGUGCCAGCAGCCGCGGUAAUACGUAGGGAGCAAGCGUUGUCCGGAUUUACGGGGUGUAAAGGGUGCGUAGGCGGCCCUGCAAGUCAGAAGUGAAAUCCAUGGGCUUAACCCGUGAACUGCUUUUGAAACUGCAGGACUUGAGUGGAGUAGAGGUAGGCGGAAUUCCCGGUGUAGCGGUGAAAUGCGUAGAGAUCGGGAGGAACACCAGUGGCGAAGGCGGCCUACUGGGCUUUAACUGACGCUGAAGCACGAAAGCGUGGGUAGCAAACAGG